UGAGCCUUCAGUUGUUGUUGUGUAGA
rnacentral:piRNA from 1 species